rnacentral:rRNA from 1 species
UACGAAGGGGGGCUAGCGUUGUUCGGAAUUACUGGGCGUAAAGGGCGCGUAGGCGGUGUGUCAAGUCAGGCGUGAAAGCCCCGGGCUCAACCUGGGAACCGCGCUUGAGACUGGCACGCUAGAGUUCGGGAGAGGAUGGUGGAAUUCCCAGUGUAGAGGUGAAAUUCGUAGAUAUUGGGAAGAACACCGAUGGCGAAGGCAGCCAUCUGGACCGACACUGACGCUGAGGCGCGGAAAGCGUGGGGAGCAAACAGG